rnacentral:rRNA from 1 species
GGAAUCUUCCACAAUGGGCGCAAGCCUGAUGGAGCAACACCGCGUGAGUGAAGAAGGGUUUCGGCUCGUAAAGCUCUGUUGUUAGAGAAGAACGUGCGUGAGAGCAACUGUUCACGCAGUGACGGUAUCUAACCAGAAAGUCACGGCUAACUACGUGCCAGCAGCCGCGGUAAUACGGAGGAUGCGAGCGUUAUCCGGAUUUAUUGGGUUUAAAGGGUGCGUAGGCGGGUGCUUAAGCGUGAGGUGAAAGCUCGGAGCUCAACUCCGGAACUGCCUCGCGAACUGGGUGCCUUGAAUGUCCGUGCCGUGGGAGGAAUGUGUGGUGUAGCGGUGAAAUGCAUAGAGAUCACACAGAACACCGAUUGCGAAGGCAUCUCACGAACGGAUGAUUGACGCUGAGGCACGAAAGCGUGGGGAUCAAACA